UACGAAGGGGGCUAGCGUUGCUCGGAAUCACUGGGCGUAAAGGGUGCGUAGGCGGGUCUUUAAGUCAGGGGUGAAAUCCUGGAGCUCAACUCCAGAACUGCCUUUGAUACUGAAGAUCUUGAGUUCGGGAGAGGUGAGUGGAACUGCGAGUGUAGAGGUGAAAUUCGUAGAUAUUCGCAAGAACACCAGUGGCGAAGGCGGCUCACUGGCCCAUUACUGACGCUGAGGUGCGAAAGCGUGGGGAGCAAACAGG
rnacentral:rRNA from 1 species